UACGAAGGGAACUAGCGUUGUUCGGAAUCACUGGGCGUAAAGCGGGCGCAGGCGGACUAUCAAGUCAGAGGUGAAAGCCCAAGGCUUAACCUUGGAAUUGCCUUUGAAACUGAUAGUCUGGAGUGUGUGAGGGGGUAGCGGAAUUCCAAAUGUAGAGGUGAAAUUCGUAGAUAUUUGGAGGAACACCGGUGGCGAAGGCGGCUACCUGGCACACAACUGACGCUGAGGCCCGAAAGCGUGGGGAUCAAACAGG
rnacentral:rRNA from 1 species